UGAAGUUAGCAAAGGGAAAGUUCAGUCGUACCUAUGGGUAAUCAGCCUUUUGGGUGUGAUUUUGUGGAGCGUGAGGAGUUAAACGCCUUCAUGCCUGCAUAUUCGUGCACUUUGAGUGUACUUGCCCGUAUGGUUGGUUAACAUCAAUUUUGGUGGUCAUAAAAUGACUGGAGGAAUGUAGCUUCGAUCUCGUAUUGAAGUGUUAUAGCCUUCGGUAGAUGUGAUGAUCGAGAUUGAGGAUUGCAACGGAUACCCUUCGGGGCUACCUGUCUGAUCUCUGAUCGUUGCUCUGGUGCCGAGAGCUUGCUUACGGUUAUCAAAGUCGAUGGUCAAUAGGUUAGAACGGGUUAAA
rnacentral:rRNA from 1 species